CUGCAGAGAGUUAUCCCUCUCUGAGCUGCCGUGCUCUCUGAGGGAGUCGCUCUGCUAUAUGAACUCUCUGCCCAGAGCCUCGGCCCCUGGCCAGCAGUAGCUGG
rnacentral:snoRNA from 1 species